rnacentral:lncRNA from 1 species
AUUUGUUCAUGAAGAACAAUAUUGUUAAAAGAUAUAAUGAUGGAUUUAAGUCUCAUCUCAUUAAGAGGGUAAGACAUUGGAUUAAAAGUUUCAAUGCACCAUGAUGAUAAGAUGUUGGGUUCAAAGUUCCAUCGAUUUAUGUCUAAAACACCUUUAUAUGAAUAAGACAUUGAGUUUGAAUCUCAAUGCACCAUAUUGAUAAUAUAACGAUGGCUAAGGCAAAAUAAUGUGUAUUUCAUAAAAAGUCAUGAAACAUAUCUCAUUUAUAUGCUCUAUUCCAUGAAGUGAAUAUGGUAGCAAUACAUGAUGAAUCUGAAAGUUGACAACUUGCUCUAUUCUUAAAAGGAAUGUGAUAGAAGUGCAUAAUAUGUCUGAAAGAAGAUAAGUGAUUGAAUGCACGAAUAUAAGCGUGAAGGGACAAUAUAAUAAUAAUCAUCAAAAGUGAUAUGGACGCUAACUCGAAAAACCUUUUCGCGAAGCCUCAAAAUAACGCUAGUGGAACCCGAGCUUUGAAUAAUUUAUUCGGAUAAUUAAUCUUUAAUUUGAUGCUCAAAUAAUGUCAAAAUAUUUUAGCCCUUAAACUGUUACUACCGAAUAUGUAUAUAUGUGUGCGAUAUAUGUUUACAUAUAAGAAUACUAGCACUUAGAUUGCCCUUUUUGUUAAAAAAAGAAAGACUAUUUUUGAAAGGCACUACCAAGUAUAUAUAUAUAUAUGGCCAAAGUCAUCGAUAAACACUCAAACUUGUUUCGAAAAUUCACUUAGACCCCUCAACUAUGGCCUGUACCUAUCAGGCCCCUAAACCCCCCGAAUUUUGAUCCAAUUAGAUCUUUUUUGCCUACAUGGCACUGUGCGUGUUUUUCACUCACUAGGGGCGCGUGAAACACAAUUUUUGACUAAAUAACAAAUAAAAACGUGCUAAAUGGCACUGAAAGCCCCCAAAAAAUUAAUAAAACAAGUUUUUUUAAAAUAAUCUUUUUCUCUUCCUCUUUCUUUUUCAUUUUCUUUUUAAAUAAUGUUUUCUCUCUCUUCUUCUUAAUUUUUUUUCUUACAGCUCUUUCUUUGCCAUUUCUUAAGCUCUUUCUUUCUCUUCCAUUUCUUACUGUUUCUUUCUCAUUUUCCUUUUAAAUAAUUUUUUUUUUCCUCUUCAUAGAUUACAAUUAUCUCCCC